UUAUCCUGCGGUUUUUGUGUGAGGCAAAACUUUGAUCCUUGGAGACUCAGGCAGAAGCUGAACAAAUAAGAAAGAUUUAUUUUACAGAACAAAGUUCAUAAAACCAAAGAUGUGUCAGGGAACUUAUUAGAACAGUUUACACUUGGAACCCCUGGAGUCUCUCACUGCUCAGAGAUUGGGGAGGAUCACACUCUGCCCUCUUCACUAGACUGCACUUCCUGCCACUUGAGAAGGAAAUGGGAAGCCCAACCUGGCUCAAUCCCUCGGCCAAAGAAGAAACUGUGAGGAGUUUGCUUUCCUCCCCUCCCUUCAAGAAAGAACACUCUGCUCUAACUGCCAGUUUCCCUGGCAGUGCAGAGAUUAAAGAAGGAACACUCUGGCCUCUCCCAGCAAAUUGGGCACCAACAGCCACCAGCAGUCUGUGCCCCCUUCCUCCCAGGAAGAACAUCAUGGCAAGGAAGAGAACAAACCAGCCCUGGCAAUCAGCCAGAGAAGGAGUAACUGCAGGGAAGUAUAUGUGUGUAGAUUCCACCCAGAUCUUUAGAGAUAGAUCAGAACAAAUGGCAAUCUGGUAAAACCCGAAUUGCUGUUUGUUCCAGCUGAGAACUAAAGAGCGGUUUCCCCAGGGGGGGAGCUGCAGGACAAGAAGUGUGGAUAAGCUCUAAGUUGGCUGCAUCCAUUGAACAGAGAAAGUGCAGCUGCUCCAGUGCCUGCUUUCCUUUCUCUGCCUUGCUUUCCCUUUCGUAUUGUGCCUGUUCCUGUGAGACUUUUGAUAUAAAUGCACAGUAUUUUUUAAA